GUACCCUGGUAGUCCACGCUGUAAACGAUGUCGACUUGGAGGUUGUUCCCUUGAGGAGUGGCUUCCGGAGCUAACGCGUUAAGUCGACCGCCUGGGGAGUACGGCCGCAAGGUUAAAACUCAAAUGAAUUGACGGGGGCCCGCACAAGCGGUGGAGCAUGUGGUUUAAUUCGAUGCAACGCGAAGAACCUUACCUACUCUUGACAUCCAGAGAACUUAGCAGAGAUGCUUUGGUGCCUUCGGGAACUGUGAGACAGGUGCUGCAUGGCUGUCGUCAGCUCGUGUUGUGAAAUGUUGGGUUAAGUCCCGCAACGAGCGCAACCCUUAUCCUUUGUUGCCAGCGGUUCGGCCGGGAACUCAAAGGAGACUGCCAGUGAUAAACUGGAGGAAGGUGGGGAUGACGUCAAGUCAUCAUGGCCCUUACGAGUAGGGCUACACACGUGCUACAAUGGCAUAUACAAAGAGAAGCGACCUCGCGAGAGCAAGCGGACCUCAUAAAGUAUGUCGUAGUCCGGAUCGGAGUCUGCAACUCGACUCCGUGAAGUCGGAAUCGCUAGUAAUCGUGGAUCAGAAUGCCACGGUGAAUACGUUCCCGGGCCUUGUACACACCGCCCGUCACACCAUGGGAGUGGGUUGCAAAAGAAGUAGGUAGCUUAAC
rnacentral:rRNA from 1 species